rnacentral:rRNA from 1 species
GACGAACGCUGGCGGCGUGCUUAACACAUGCAAGUCGAGCGGUAAGGCCCUUUCGGGGGUACACGAGCGGCGAACGGGUGAGUAACACGUGGGUGACCUGCCCUCAGCUCUGGGAUAAGCCUGGGAAACUGGGUCUAAUACUGGAUAUGACUCCACGGUGCAUGUCGUGGGGUGGAAAGCCUUGUGCGGCUGAGGAUGGGCCCGCGGCCUAUCAGCCUGUUGGUGGGGUGAUGGCCUACCAAGGCGACGACGGGUAGCCGGCCUGAGAGGGCGACCGGCCACACUGGGACUGAGACACGGCCCAGACUCCUACGGGAGGCAGCAGUGGGGAAUCUUGCGCAAUGGGCGAAAGCCUGACGCAGCGACGCCGCGUGAGGGAUGACGGCCU